rnacentral:lncRNA from 11 species
CUGGUCUAUACUGUAGAAUUAACCCAGUUUGACGCUACUUUCACUGCCACAGAUCAAUGCAAAACCUUGGGAUUUAUAAUGUGGAAGCAGAGAAGACUAAAAGUUUUUGGCAAACUAAAACUUCCUUUGAUUCCAUGCCAUAGGGCACUUAAAGGGGUAUCAAACUGAGUUAAUUCUACAGUGUAGACACACUCCCGGACCUGAUUGAAAGGGGAGAGAAAAACAAUCUGCCCCAGUUCCUUUACCUAGGUAUUAAUUAACUAAUAAUAAUAAUAAUCUUUAUUUAUAACCCGCUUUCAUCUCCCCAGGGGGACUCAGAGUGGUUCACAUGGGGACCAAGCCCGAUCAACAGAUAAAACAACACAACAACAUAUAGAAUUAAAACAGUAACAGUAAAAAAAAAUUCAUAAAAUACAUCACUCAAGAGCUAACAUGAUUUCAAACUGCACUAAGAGGCACCUGUAGCUAAGAGUUAACAUGAAAUGACAUAGCAAAGAUCAUUAAAUCUAUUAAAAGACAUUAUUAAAAGAGGAAAAAGCAUUAAAAGGGACCAAAGCUUUGCAUUGCUUGGGAUCCUUGCUCCCACCCAGCCUUCUUACCUGGACGGUGGAAAAAAAAACCCAAAGAGAGCAGGUUCAACUGCAGAGGCAAGCGCGCGUCGAGACGUCCGGUGCGAAGAUGCUGCUCUCCAUCGGGGCUUGGCUCUUAUACCCCUCCCCACUCCCCUCCCCGCCUUUCCCAAACCACACCCACCCCUCCCCUCCCGCCAUGACGUCACCGGCAGGUGAAACUGGCGCCUUGGGACAGGAAACAGAACAAGGGGGAGCGAAAGUCCCACAAAAUCAGGGGCAAACUAGAGCAAAGAACAAUGAAGCUGAAAAUCUAUGAUGCAGUACAGAACCUUCCAUCCUGAAAACACGAAGUGCUCCACUGAAGUCUUGAAAUCUUAUCCAAGAAACCCUGGGUCAACUUAUCUCCUGGUCAAUGACGUGGCAGGAGAAAUACAACACACUGGAAACCAUAUGCUGUUGAGGAAACAUGAUGACGAUGACUAUUUUCCCCUCCUGUGUCACUUGUCCUCUCAUCCAGAACUGAUACCGUGGGAUUGCUCAACAGCUAUAGAGAAACUAGGCUACGUAAUUGCAAAACGGUAUUGUUUUUCUGCACUUGGCACAAGACACUUAAUCUAUAGAUAUAAAGGUCAAAGUUUGAUGUGUGUACUUUGCAUGUAUGUUUGUUUGAUCUACAAAGUUUCCUACACAGAUGGAUGGAUC